rnacentral:rRNA from 1 species
AGUGAACGCUGGCGGUAGGCCUAACACAUGCAAGUCGAACGGCAGCACAGUAAUAGCUUGCUCUUACGGGUGGCGAGUGGCGGACGGGUGAGGAAUACAUCGGAAUCUACUUUUUCGUGGGGGAUAACGUAGGGAAACUUACGCUAAUACCGCAUACGACCUACGGGUGAAAGCAUGGGAUCUUCUGACCUUGCGCGAUUGAAUGAGCCGAUGUCGGAUUAGCUAGUUGGCGGGGUAAAGGCCCACCAAGGCGACGAUCCGUAGCUGGUCUGAGAGGAUGAUCAGCCACACUGGAACUGAGACACGGUCAAGACUCCUAAGGGAGGCAGCAGUGGGGAAUAUUGGACAAUGGGCGGAAGCAUGAUACAGCCAUACCGCGUGGGUGAAGAAGGCCUUCGGGUUGUAAAGACCUUUUGUUGGGAAAGAAAAGCAGCAGGUUAAUACCCCGCUGUUCUGACGGUACCCAAAGAAUAAGCACCGGCUAACUUCGUG